rnacentral:tRNA from 1 species
GGAUUGUGGUUCAGCGGUAGAGCGCUCGCCUAGCACGUGCGAGGCCCUGGGUUUGAUCCUCAGCACCA